GACGAACGCUGGCGGCGUGCCUAAUACAUGCAAGUCGAACGCAGUGGGGACGGGUGAGUAACACGUGGGUAACCUCCCAUCAGAGGGGAUAACACUUGGAAACAGGUGCUAAACCGAUACUGAUGGAUGGACCCGCGGUGCAUUAGCUAGUUGGUGAGGGAACGGCUCACCAAGGCCACGAUGCAUAGCGGGCAUGAGAGGGGGUGAGGCCAGACGGGGACUGAGACACGGCCCAGACGCCGCCGGGAGGCAGCAGUAGGGAAUCUGCGGCAAUGGACGAAAGUCUGACAGAGCAAAGCCGCGUGAGUGAAGAAGGUUUUCGGAUCGUAAAACUCUGUUGUUAGAGAAGCGGUAUCUAACCAGAAAGCCACGGCUAACUACGUGCCAGCAGCCGCGGUAAUUC
rnacentral:rRNA from 1 species